rnacentral:lncRNA from 1 species
CACUUGGUGAAGUAGUCAAUUACCACCAGGAGGAACUUUUGCUGUCCGGAUGCCAGGAGAAAAGGUCCGAGGAUAUCCAUCCCCCAUUGUGCAAACGGUCAUGGGGCACUCAAGGGUGUAAGUUCGGAGGUGGGUUGCCUUUGGAUAUUUGUAUAUCUCUGACACUGAUCACACCUUCUGAUAUAUUUGAUGGAGUCAUGGUACAUGGUAGGCC